GAUGAACGCUGACAGAAUGCUUAACACAUGCAAGUCUACUUGAUUCUACUUCGGUAGUUGAUGGUGGCGGACGGGUGAGUAACGCGUAAAGAAUCUGCCCUUUAGUUUGGGAUAACCUUUGGAAACGAAGGCUAAUACCGGAUAUUAUGGAGAUGUCGCAUGGCGACUCCAUGAAAGCUAUGUGCGCUGGCGGAGGACUUUGCGUCCCAUUAGUUAGUUGGUGGGGUAAUGGCUCACCAAGGCCGCGCUGGGUCGCCGGCCUGAGAGGGUGAUCGGCCACAAGGGAACUGAGACACGGUCCUUACUCCUACGGGGGGAAGCAGUGGGGAAUAUUGGACAAUGGGCCACAAGCCUGAUCCAGCAAUUCUGUGUGCACGAUGAAGGUCUUCGGAUUGUAAAGUGCUUUCAGUAGGAAAGAAAAAAAUGACGGUACCUACAGAAGAAGCGACGGCUAAAUAUGUGCCAGCAGCCGCCGUAA
rnacentral:rRNA from 1 species